rnacentral:lncRNA from 1 species
GAACAUGUGGAAGUCAUCUUUUCUGAAAUUUGACCACAUAAAAAUAAGCAGCAACCACCCAAAACAACGAGUCUAUUACAAUUUCCUUUUUCUAGUACUCAAUUUUUGCUCCGAAAACUCUUGCAUACUAAUCAACUCUAUUAUGACUGUUUUCAAUAGGAAAUGAUCAACUUUGAAUUUCUACUCACUUUGGAUUACAAGUCAUUAUGAGGAAAAUACCUCAGAGUCAAUAUUUCGCCACAAACGCUAGCACACUCUUGUAACGGCAACCUAGAUCAUGCAGCCCACCUAUGAGAUUGGAACACCCACCGGUGUCAAUAACAACAGCACAUGUACAUCUUUCUUUUUAUCACUAUCUUAUUUGAAAAUUAUAAACCACAAUCAAUAAAAAUAUUAAUAGCAACACCACUCACUAAACAAUCUCACAUAAUGAUAAAUUGAAUUGUGAAAAUCUAGACACACAACAAAUAUAAUUAUGCACAUCUCAAGCUUCUUGACCGAGUAGUUAGAGCACGUGAACACUCACGGCCGAAAAUAUUUGGCAUAGCCAUAACAGUUCAGAUGGAUGAGGUAAACUAAAACAUAAACGUUUUGAAGAUGUCACAUGGUCGUGUACGAUAUUUGAACACAGAGAUUUAAUAUUAAAUUCACACCAAAACAAAUACAACCAACAAAGAAUUGAGAAAUACAUGGCACGUGCGAUAUCAUAGCUCGCAACAUGCAUUAUAGAAGAAUUAAAAUUACCAUGCACCACUCUAAAGCAAAGACAUAGAACCAAUAAACUAAAGGUAAGUGUGCAACCAAUACAAAUGUGUCACGAUCGGCCUUAACUAAGGAUAGCUAAUCUGGGAAAUCGUGACUAGGGAAGAGAUUUAAGAAGCGGGGUUAGAAGGGACACAUUCGACUCAUUCAUAACUCGAUUAUAGACAUUUCUAUCUAGCAUUUAUUCAUAAAAUAAAAUUUGAGACAUUGAAGGAUUGACGCAUAUAAUUAAAAAGGAUACUCGAUGAACCCGAGUAAGCGUUAAAUAUUUCUUGAAGAGUAAUUGACAUAAAUAUAGACUUGGCUAAAACAUAAUCAGUGUUUGCAGCGGAAGGCAAGACUGAGAUACAUGUAUGCAGACACAUAUCCUUUCUGAGCCUAUUCUAAGUUCGACAAAAGACUCCACUCAGCAACACUUCAUCGUUCAUCACAGCUCAAUCUGCACAUUUAGAAAUACAUGCAGGGCUAAGUACAAAAGCACUUAGUGGGCAAUUACCAAAAACUAAUACGUAUAAACUUAGCAUUUUAAUUACAAAUCAUAGCAUUUGUAAGACACAAGAGCCUUCUUCCAAAUCCUGUGCUUACUAAGCAUUUUCAAAUUCAUAAAUAGCGUAAGUGCAUUCUUCAUCAUCGAAAGUCAUAUCAUUAAGCAUCGUGUCGUGAAGAAAGCCUUCCUCAACGAACACAGGCAUCGCGCCGUGAGGGAGGCCUCCCUCAGCGGACACGGCAUCGUACUGUUGAGGGAGGCCUCCCCCAACAGACGCUAGCAUCGUCCCGUUGAGGGAGGCCUCCCUCAACGGACGUUUGACCGGCCAACCCUCUCAUUGACUCACGGUCGCGUUGUAUGUUAAAUCCUGGCAGGAUAGCUAUCCGCUCAGGAUUCGAACUCGUUAACAUCAUCACGUAGGCAUUAAUAAUAAGUGUAAAGCAUUCAAGCGUAACAAAGCAUAUAUAAAUCACACAGGCGUAACAAAGCGUAAAGACUAAAGCGUAGAACAUUUAGGCGUAAAUUAUAUAGCGUAAAUUACUUAGGCAUAACCAGCGUAAAACAUUUAAACGAAAUAAAGCAUAACUCGAUUAAGCAUAAUAAAGCGUAACUCAAUUUAAGUGUAAUAAACCAUAACUCAUUUAAGCAUAAUAGGGCAUAACUCAAUUAAACGUAAUAAAGUAUAAUAUAUAUUUUUUAAAAGUAUAAAGUCUUUAAUAGUUCUACAAUAGCAUUUUAUUUUAUGCGUAAGAAAUGCCCACCUGAUAGCAAAGAUUUGCUAAGGUGUUGUAACUCCUUGAAUAGUUCCUGCUCUCGCGCUUGACCUUUAUUACGACGAUAUAAAAUAAGGCAUUGGCCCGAGGAAAAUUCUCAAUUAAUUGAGUAUGCGUAAAUUAACUAUGCAUGACUCAUAUUUCGCUAAUAACAAUCCAAACUAUAGGAUUAAAGCUCGUCUUAUGAGACUGGAGUAUUAAUCUUAAUUAAUCCACUCAUCUUAGGGUAAUGCUAACCCACUUACUAAUUAAUAAUCCUCAUUCUACAUUAAUCCAUAAUUAGAACUAACUAAAUCCAAUUAAUAGAUUAAUCUAGACUAGUCUUUAAUCGGGCUAAAUAAAUAAUAAGGCAGCCUAAUGAUUAAUUGGGAGCAACAUAAGGCAACCCAAUAAAAGAAAUUGGACCCAAUCAAAUAACCAUCGCAGCUUAAAAUAUGCCUGGGCUCCCAUUAAGAAAAGGAAUCAGCCUACUCUGAUUAACUCUGGCCCAGCUGCUUAGCCUCAUAAUAAAAUCGGCCCAAGAAAUAGCCCAAACUAAUUUCCCUUUUUUCCUCCAAAUCUCUCUCUCUCCUCUCUCGCAAUCACGCUCGCGGACAGAACAGCCGCCGUCAACUUCACUGAGCCACCAUCAGAGAUGAGGCACGACCUCGUCGGAAUUUCCAGAGCCGCAGAGGCGCGGCAAAGCUGAAGCCGCGCCCAUUUCCCUCUUCGCAAGCUAGCAUUGCUGAGGGGACCGGCGGAUCGCCGCCGUCAACUUCACUGAGCCACCAUCGGUACCUCAAAUUUCAGUAAGCAAAACUGAGCCCUAGCCCCAUUUCUGGAAUCGCCGCAGUCGCGAUGGAUCGCCGUUGGACAUGUGAAUCGGCGAGAGUCUUACUGCCUUCGCCCUUGAGUUCCAGCUAGCGGAUGCUUCCGUCGAUGCACUCUGCCCAUCGGAACAGAACUCGUUCUGCUUGGUGUCGCCCUUAGGCGCAGCCAUGGCGCUCUGCCCCAAACCGCCAGAUUGAACGGCAACAGGCCACCAAGGAUAAAGCUCAACAGGUUACUAGCAUUUUCUAAGUUCAUUCUAUCCUAUGAAAUCUUGGUUUUCCAUACUCCGAUUAUGCUUAUGCUGGAGAUUACACUAGGCAUGAUUUUGCUAUGUGUCGUAAGAAAUUCUCAUUGUAUUUGCCUUGUGUGAAAGUCAUGGGUUGUUGAUUCUAUAUGGAGGGAGGGGUGGGGGGUUGGUGUGGCGAGAAAUUUUUUAAAAAAGUAUUUUUUGGGGGGUGGGGUGGGUGGCCAGAAAAUUAAAAAAAAAUUUUUGGGGGGGGAAGGGGGUGGGUGGGUUGGGGAUGAGGGCAAAAUAUAUAAGAGUAAUUUUGUCAAAACCUAAAUUUAGGUGGAAUUAGAAAUGGAAUGGAAUGGAUAAUACCAUAUUGGAGGGAAGGAAUGAUGAUUCCUAUAUCUAAAGGAAUGGUGAUUCCCUUAAGAAUGGUGAUUCCUAAGAUAAAACUAUACCAAGCAUAGGAAUGGAAUGGAGGUAGGAAUCACCAUUCCAUUCCCACCUCCAUUCCACCAUACCAAUCACCUCCUUAGUGUUUGACAAGAUGAACCAUGCGUAGGUUAUAGAUGAAUGACCCUUAACAGCAUGGCUUUGAGUUGAAAAGGGGCUGCAGAGUUGAAGAAAAUGAGUUGAUGUUUGUACUUGCAUACUUUCUAUUGCUGAUUUUGGGCUUUGCGUGUAUGUAGAAGAUAGAGUAGGAAUUGAUAUUAAGUGUAGGGAAAGUUGUGAGGUGACAAUUAAAAUCCUUCCGUCUUGUAUCAUUUGCGCGAUUGUGAUACUAAUUCCGAGUUUUGCUAAUUGAUCGCGUGUUCUCGUAAAAUAAAUCUAAAUUAAAUCCGUAGAUUUAAUUUGAUUCACAAGCCAAAAUAAAACCACUACUUAAGUAAUCAUAGUAAAUAAAAACAAUACUUUUAUUGAAAAGAAUAAAUAACAUGACUUUGUUAAGUCAGUUAUAAAUUAAAAAUAUAAAUUAUUGAUUGGCUCAAUAAUUCAUAACGAGGUUUUUCUCACGCAAAGUUAAUAUGUACAAUCGAAUCAAAAACUCUGUAUCUCGCAUAAACAUCUAAUUCAAAAUCUUGAGUUGAAUUAUCUAAUAAUAAUCACUGGAUUAUCAUAGCUGAAGAUGCAAUGAUAUAAUUAUUGCAAUAGUGGUCUUUACUUAAUAAAUAAAAUAGCGGGUUGCUACAAAAUGAGCCCCAAAAAAAGAAAAAACAAAGAAAGCUCAUCAGUAUCCUUCUUUGGAAGCACAAAUCUUCUUUUUGUCAUAACAAGAUAUCUAAAAAAUGUGACCAAAGUCACGAUUGAGAAUUCAGUAAUUUAGUCAGUGAUAUAACAAAAUAUGAAAGAAAAUAAAGCAAAAAAAAUACUAUUUUGAACAAUGUAGGGUAGUGAUUCACCGAAGGUGCAAUAAACCAAUGAAAAGUGUUACAACAAAUAAAUUCGAUGUGAGCAAAGACAAGCGGACCGUGAGGGCACCCAUCGAAAACCAGAAACCGAAAAUAACAAUUUUCGUAUAACACAAAGUGACUAAUCCUUAAAAAACCUGAAGGCUAAAGGCAAUAACCCAAGUCCCAAUCCUCGAGUAACAAAUCCGAUCUAGUGAAAGACAAUUUACUCACAAUCAACAUCAAAAAUUAAAAGACUUUGUCAAGAACUCAAACAAUAACAUUAAUUAAAUUAACUAUAACAAUUCCUAUUGCUAAUAUGGAGCAAUAAGGCAACAACAUUUGUUAGCCAAGCAAAAGUUGGCCACUUUCAGAACCACCACUUGGCAAAUGAAAACAAAAUGAUUGUUAAGAGACAAAAAACAUUAUUUGAGCAUAUACACAAUAAAUUCUUACAAGUUUUAAAGAGAUCUAAAAUGAAGAAAACAAGUGAAAUCAUAACUUGUUUGUUGUAGGAUUGGAACACUUAAACCAAUCUAACACACCUCUUUCAUUUCUUCGGAGUCUUAUUAGCAACAUCACUUAAAAGAAUAACAAACCCACAUAAUGUUAAAAGAUUACCAAAUCUCAGAGGUGGAUCAAUAAUUUGUAUCAAGAACUCACAUUAUCAUCCACAAAACCUCUAUGUUAAAUUAAAUUGUGCAAAUGUAAACUUAACAUGACCAACAUAAAUAAAUUUGAACCUAUCAAAUGCCUUGACCGAGUAAGAAGACCGAGAAAAUUAACACGACCUAAAAAUAAUUGGCAAGGCAAAUAUAGGUGACAAACUAAGUUUAAGCCUCUUGCCACCAUUCACGUCUAAAACAAAGACACGAAAAAAAUAAAUUAACAGUAAGAAUGCGUAAAAAAAAUAUAUAAAGAAAACUCAAGAGUAAGUAACCUUUAGUUGAAAGCACACAUCCUCUUUUGUCCUUAACAAAAGAUCUGAAAAAUGAGACUAUUACGAGAACAAAUUAAGAUAUUGACUCCCAUAGUUGCAAUAAACUAAGAACCUCGGUGGGAGCACAAGCAAGCAAACCGAGAGAGCAUCAAUUGAAACUAAUCACAAACCAAAGAUAACAAUCUUCCAGUAACACAAAGUAAUGAAACCUUAAAAAUCCAAAAAGGCUAGAGGCAGAAAACCAAUAUUGGCCUAAUCCUAGAGUAAUGAACCCCGGCCCCUGAACCUAUAAAUGAGAACUAUAACUAAUCGACCAUGCACAUCUAACAACAAUGGAAGAGCGCAAAACCAUGAAGACGAAAUAUUACAACACAAAUAAAAAGCAACACAAAAAUAAAUGCACCUUGAAAUUUGGAGAGGCAUAAUAGCUUUCUGAUUACAUAAGAAGGCAAAAUGUCUCGCAUAAAUGAUGAGCACAAGAGAAAAAUCGCCUAAUGGUAGACAUGCUCAUGAUAUAAUUGAAUUUUGUUAUUAUAGAGAAUUACUCGGUAAAGUUAUUGUUCAAAUAUUAAAAUUUUAUCAAAACUAACAAACUAAAUAAUUUGUUAAAAUACAGCACACGUGACAAAAAUACUACAUUAAAGUCAAAAUGGUCAGACGACGACUACUUCUUAUAUUCUUAUUAUUGGCUUACCUCAGAUCGAAUAGAAAGAACGUGAAACGCUAGCGCAACAGGGUCGGUUUUUAUCAAUCUAUAAACAUCAUUACUUACAAGACAAAGAAAAGGAUGUCAAGUAUUUAUCAAAAAAUGCUACUUAAUAAUGUAUCUAAAUUUGAAAAAUAUGAACCCCACCUCAAGUGCAAGGUAGUGCUCACUACUCCCAUGGAAGAAUAUGCAACUCUUGAAGAAGUGGUUGUCGAUGAACGAGCACGUGUCUAAGAAUAAUUUAGAAAAGGAACUGCAAUGAAUAUUUAAAUGGCAUGUGUAAAACAACCAAACAAAUCAUAUUAAAUAAAAACUAUAUCUUACAUAAAAAAAAAAAAAAAGAAUUAGUACACGACAAAAAGAAGGAUGUCAAAAUUUAACUAAAAUCCAACUUAUACUAAUGUAUUUAAAUUUUAAAAUAAAACAAAACAAAAACAACCACAAAUUCAAAUUACAGUAAUUCCUGUUAAUUAUAAGCAUGUAAUAAACAAUUUAAUAUUAAUAAGUCAAACCCAAUAGGUAGCUAAGUAUUCCCCAAUUAUAUUCAUAAAUUUAAGCAUUUCAUGUAAUCUCAUUGGAUUUUAGUCUUUAGAAC